rnacentral:rRNA from 1 species
GACGAACGCUGGCGGCGUGCCUAACACAUGCAAGUCGAACGGAAAGGCCUCUUUCUGGGGGUACUCGCGUGGCGAACGGGUGAGUAACACGUAAGUAACCUGCCCUUGACUUUGGGAUAACUUCAGGAAACUGGGGCUAAUACCGGAUAGGAGCUCCUGCUGCCUGGUUGGGGUUGGAAAGUUUCGGCGGUUGGGGAUGGACUCGCGGCUUAUCAGCUUGUUGGUGGGGUAGUGGCUUACCAAGGCUUUGACGGGUAGCCGGCCUGAGAGGGUGACCGGCCAGAUUGGGACUGAGAUACGGCCCAGACUCCUACGGGAGGCAGCAGUGGCGAAUAUUGCACAAUGGGUGGAAGCCUGAUGCAGCAACGUCGUGUGCGGGAUGACGGCCUUCGGGUUGUAAACCGCUUUCGCUCAUGACGAAGCUUUGUGUGACGGUAGUGGGUAAAGAAGCACCGGCUAACUACGUG